rnacentral:rRNA from 1 species
UUGAACGCUGGCGGCAGGCCUCACCCAUGCCAGUCGAGCGGAUGAAGGGAGCUUGCUCCUGGAUUCAGCGGCGGACGGGUGAGUAAUGCCUAGGAAUCUGCCUGGUAGUGGGGGAUAACGUCCGGAAACGGGCGCUAAUACCGCAUACGUCCUGAGGGAGAAAGUGGGGGAUCUUCGGACCUCACGCUAUCAGAUGAGCCUAGGUCGGAUUAGCUAGUUGGUGGGGUAAAGGCCUACCAAGGCGACGAUCCGUAACUGGUCUGAGAGGAUGAUCAGUCACACUGGAACUGAGACACGGUCCAGACUCCUACGGGAGGCAGCAGUGGGGAAUAUUGGACAAUGGGCGAAAGCCUGAUCCAGCCAUGCCGCGUGUGUGAAGAAGGUCUUCGGAUUGUAAAGCACUUUAAGUUGGGAGGAAGGGCAGUAAGUUAAUACCUUGCUGUUUUGACGUUACCAACAGAAUAAGCACCGGCUAACUUCGUG